rnacentral:rRNA from 1 species
AGUGAACGCUGGCGGUAGGCCUAACACAUGCAAGUCGAACGGCAGCACAGAGGAGCUUGCUCCUUGGGUGGCGAGUGGCGGACGGGUGAGGAAUACAUCGGAAUCUACUCUGUCGUGGGGGAUAACGUAGGGAAACUUACGCUAAUACCGCAUACGACCUACGGGUGAAAGCAGGGGAUCUUCGGACCUUGCGCGAUUGAAUGAGCCGAUGUCGGAUUAGCUAGUUGGCGGGGUAAAGGCCCACCAAGGCGACGAUCCGUAGCUGGUCUGAGAGGAUGAUCAGCCACACUGGAACUGAGACACGGUCCAGACUCCUACGGGAGGCAGCAGUGGGGAAUAUUGGACAAUGGGCGCAAGCCUGAUCCAGCCAUACCGCGUGGGGGAAGAAGGCCUUCGGGUUGUAAAGCCCUUUUGUUGGGAAAGAAAUCCAUCUGGUUAAUACCCGGGUGGGAUGACGGUACCCAAAGAAUAAGCACCGGCUAACUUCGUGCCAGCCGCCGCAGUCA